rnacentral:rRNA from 1 species
AGAGUUUGAUCCUGGCUCAGAUUGAACGCUGGCGGCAGGCCUAACACAUGCAAGUCGAACGUGAAAGCUCUUCGGAGUGAGUAGAGUGGCGGACGGGGGAGUAACGCGUAGGAAUCUACCCAGUAGUGGGGGACAACGUUUCGAAAGAAACGCUAAUACCGCAUACGCCCCAAGGGGGAAAGCGAGGGAUCUUCGGACCUCGCGCUAUUGGAUGAGCCUGCGUAGGAUUAGCUUGUUGGUGAGGUAAAGGCUCACCAAGGCGACGAUCCUUAGCUGGUCUGAGAGGAUGAUCAGCCACACUGGAACUGAGACACGGUCCAGACUCCUACGGGAGGCAGCAGUGGGGAAUAUUGCGCAAUGGGGGCAACCCUGACGCAGCCAUGCCGCGUGUGUGAAGAAGGCCCUAGGGUUGUAAAGCACUUUCAAUUGGGAAGAAAAGUUCGUCGUUAAUAGCGGCGAGCCCUGACAUUACCUUUAGAAGAAGCACCGGCUAACUCCGUGCCAGCAGCCGCGGUAAUACGGAGGGUGCGAGCGUUAAUCGGAAUUACUGGGCGUAAAGCGCGCGUAGGCGGUUUGUUAAGUCAGCUGUGAAAGCCCUGGGCUCAACCUGGGAACUGCAGUUGAUACUGGCCGACUAGAGUACGAGAGAGGGAGGUAGAAUUCCAUGUGUAGCGGUGAAAUGCGUAGAUAUAUGGAGGAAUACCAGUGGCGAAGGCGGCCUCCUGGCUCGAUACUGACGCUGAGGUGCGAAAGCGUGGGGAUCAAACAGGAUUAGAUACCCUGGUAGUCCACGCCGUAAACGAUGUCUACUAGCCGUUGGGAGACUUGAUUUCUUAGUGGCGCAGCUAACGCAAUAAGUAGACCGCCUGGGGAGUACGGCCGCAAGGUUAAAACUCAAAUGAAUUGACGGGGGCCCGCACAAGCGGUGGAGCAUGUGGUUUAAUUCGAUGCAACGCGAAGAACCUUACCAGGUCUUGACAUCCCGAGAAUUUACUAGAGAUAGUUUAGUGCCUUCGGGAACUCGGUGACAGGUGCUGCAUGGCUGUCGUCAGCUCGUGUCGUGAGAUGUUGGGUUAAGUCUCGCAACGAGCGCAACCCCUAUCUUUAGUUGCCAGCAUUAAGUUGGGCACUCUAGAGAGACUGCCUGGGCUAACCAGGAGGAAGGUGGGGAUGACGUCAAGUCCUCAUGGCCCUUAUGUCUAGGGCUACACACGUAAUACAAUGGUACAUACAAAGGGAAGCGACCUCGCGAGAGUGAGCAAAUCUCAAAAAGUGUAUCUCAGUCCGGAUUGAAGUCUGCAACUCGACUUCAUGAAGUUGGAAUCGCUAGUAAUCGCGGAUCAGCACGCCGCGGUGAAUACGUUCCCGGGCCUUGUACACACCGCCCGUCACACCAUGGGAGUUGAUCUUACCUGAAGCCGUGGCCCUAACUUUAUGCAGAGGGGAGCGUCUACGGUCGGAUCGAUGACUGGGGUGAAGUCGUAACAAGGUAACC